rnacentral:misc_RNA from 1 species
AGCUACCCCACCAGUCUUCUAUAGGGGUCUAUUUGGAGGGCAACUGUUCAAAAUGUGGUGCAGCAGUAAAAAUUCAUCCUUUAGCCCUUUCUUUCCUCAUGAUAGACUUGCUCAUCAAAGAUAUGCCUGAAUGUGGCUUCCAAUUCCACAUUUCUUUGCCCUAUUAUAAUUUUGUCUGGUCAAAAGUGGAGGUAAUAUAAGAUAGUUGUUUUUGUCUUGUUGAUUCUUUACUACCUUGUGGUUUUUGAUCCAAUGCAGACAUGGAAA